CGCCGCCCAGGGCAAGAAGGGGCUGCCGAAGAACUCCCUCGUGAUCCACCCGGGGCGGUCCGGGAAGAGGAACCAGGUGCUCACCUGCGACGACACCAAGGACGGGAAGCGCCCCUGCGUGGCCACCUGCGACAAGCGCUGCCCCAACGAGUGCGUCGUCCUCUGCCCAGGCUGCAAGACCUACUGCAGUAAGCAUAAUAUUUAUUUGUAGCACUAACACAUACUACUAGUACUAUACACAUUUAUUAAUUGAAAUGCUGAAAGUAAUUAAUUUAAUCUCCUUUACAAGUGUGCGACUUCUACCCCGGCGUGUCCUGCGGUGACCCGCGCUUCACGGGCGCCGACGGCAACAACUUCUACUUCCACGGCAAGAAGGAUCAGGACUUCUGCAUUGUCUCCGACGCCGACCUCCACAUCAACGCCCACUUCAUCGGCAAGCGCAACCCUGCCAUGAGCCGCGACUUCACCUGGAUCCAGGCCCUCGGCAUCCGCUUCGCCGACCAUCGCCUCUACAUGGCCGCCCAGAAGACCGUCAAGUGGGAAAGCAAUGUCGACCGCCUUGAGCUGGCCUUCGAUGGCAUGCCCAUCGACAUCCCAGCCGUCAUCGACGCCCAGUGGCAGUCCACCACCGUGCCCGCGCUGACCAUCACAAGGAGCGCCGCAACCAACGGCAUCAGGGUCCAGCUCAAGGGAGUGUUCGACAUCCUGGCCAACGUGGUGCCCAUCACACAGAAGGACUCCCGCAUCCACAACUACGGCAUGACCGACGACGAUAGCCUCGCCCACUUCGACAUCGGGUUCAAGUUCCACGGCCUCACCGACGACGUCCACGGUGUUCUCGGCCAGACCUACCGCACCGAUUACGUCAACAAGCUCAGUGUGAGCACCAACAUGCCAAUUAUGGGCGGCACUUCUACCUACGUGACCUCCGAUAUCUUCUCCACCGACUGCAAGGUCGCCCGGUUUGGUCGCUCUUCAGGAAUCUCCAUGGUCACUGGCAUGGCCACUUAAGCACCAUGCCUCGAUGGCUAAGCUCGAAGCU
rnacentral:lncRNA from 1 species